AACCUUAAGGUUUCCACCAACCAGCUUCUUUGAGGAGUUGCAGAGCCAUUGUGGAAGCUACUUGAUUGAAGGCUGUGGUUUUACAGCCAUGGGAGUGAGAUGUGUGAAGUGGUACUGUUGAAAGUGCAGGUCUGUACACCAGAGGUGACCGGAGGUCUUGUGGAAGGAGAUGCCUGUACUCUGCUGGCCUGGCUCUGUUAACUAACCCUUGUAAAACCUCUGAAGUUUAUUCUGCCCACAUACACUACUGAGAAGAGAGAAGCCUCUCCUCUGGAGUUUUUAGCAUUCAGUUGGUAAGCUUUUCCCUAUGGCUAAUGGAGCUCAGACCAGACAGACAACACUUCAGGUGAGAAGCUGGACCUCUGCCUCUCCCCCAGAAAGUGCAGCACAGCUCUGUGCUGCCACUGCUCCUUUAGCACCUUUGUGAGUGCUGACUCCAGGCACACACAUGCAAUUUCCUGGAGACUCUUGUGUGAGUGAAAUGACUUUACAGACAAUUUAAUGCCUUCUUGCACAGGAAAGAUAUAUUCUUUUUGCCUUGACUGAAAGAGAGGCAUAAAAUCCCAGGAAAGGAAAUAAAGUGAUUCUGGAUCAAUAGAGAGAAAUAUACAGUAAAUGCUUUAGUAUGUUGUGCAAUAACAAGAGCCCUUGUGCAUUAUAAAUACAGACGCUUAGCUUAUCAUGUCCAUGCUGUCAGUCCUUCAGUACCCACAAGCCACUUGAAAAGCACGCAGCUGAGCAGGUCUGAAGCCACCAAAGCUGCCUUUGUGUAUUGUUCUGCUACUUGGAGAGACAUCUUGGACUGAGAAUAAUGCUGAGAAGAGCCACCAUCAGCACCCUGGACCUGGACAUUCCAGCGGAUGCAAGGCAGAGAAAACUGCACUGAAUCUGCCUGGAUUUGGCUAACGUUUAAAACCAGCAGCAGCCAUUUCGAUUUCUCUGGGUAACACAGAUCCGUACUACACUGCUAGUUACACACAGGUUUGGGAGCAAUUAACAAGUAAGUGACUGUGAAGUGAAAGUUGGAGCAUCUCUGUGCGAGGGAUCUGCAGAAAUCUCUGCAGAGCUGAGGGCUGAGAUAUCUUCAGAGUUACGUUCCUAACUACAUUUGCUGUGCCCUCAGGACGUGCAGGUCUUCCUUGCUAUACACAUCACAAAGUCCCAUAGUCUGGUGAAAUUUGGCUGAUGGAAAUCCAUGCUGUCACACUUCAUUAGAAGGUGGCCAGGGACAAGCACAGGGAGAAAAAUCUCUGCUGAUUGCAAACACCUAAUUUCCUUCAGAAAUCAGACUAGAUUUCUUCCCAGAGCAUAUAGGCUGACUGCAAACAUCUCAGAGUAUUUGCAGGGCUGUUAGCAGUAAGCUGGCAAUAAGUGCUGUCAGAGCCCCUUUGCAAGACCAUGGGUCACCCCUUCUCUAGAUAAAGUACUUGCAAUGUGAUGUGAGAUGUUUUAUUUCUGUACAGCACAGAAACAUAGAAAAUAGAUGUUUAGCUGACUGGUAAGUGCAAGUUGUAAUGUACUAUUUUUCAAGUGUUUAUUCCCCUGGUCUUGUCUACAAGCCAGGAAGAAACUGAUCUGAACAGAUUUCUCCCGUUGCCCGCCUGAAGCUCCCAUUCCUCCUUCAAAAUACUUUUUUCAAAUUUCUUCUGAGAAACAGUACUUUCAAAUAAGCUAAUAGAGAAUACAUAAUGAAAUAUGAGAAGAUUUCUGUUGAAUCCAACAUAUUGUCAUGUUCCCAGUUCACCUCCUUGCCUCAGAUUCCCUUUGUUCUCCCUCCAUCCUCUCACCAGCCACCCUGUUCUUUUUCCUUUUGACUGCCCACUUUCACAUUCAUUUUGGCUUUCCUUCAGUCUUUUAAUGCUGUAUCUAUUCCUUGAAUUUACUAUAGUUUGACAUUCUGUUUCAUGAGUCACCGCUGGGGAUAGAGUUUGAAGUAGAUCAAAUUGCACAAACUAGUUCUUACAGCUGCCUAAAACUAAUCUGAAUUCAUGCUCCUUAUUCCCCUGAUAAACCUUCGUGGAUUCUUUGUUCUAUACGCUCUCCCCAGAAGAUGAUGAAGUAAAUAUAUGUAUUUAUUGCAUGUGGUGAUGGCUGAAUGUCAGGGAUAGGGAGACCAAGAACUUCUGCCCUUUUACCUUUGCACAGGUCCUCAGCUUGCACACCACAGAAAGUCUGGAUCAUGUCCCCUUCCUCAGAAGGUUUCUCUAAUCGUUUUCCUUCCAGUACAUUUUCAGUCAAACUUCAUAAUCCUCAGUGAGUUAAUUGGGUAUGCGUCCAAGUAUACAUUCGCAUUUACAUAUCUCCUAGUGAAAUGCUGAGUGGCAGCCACACUGAAUUCCCAGCACUUUUCUGGCCUUCCCUUUUAUUCUAUCAUGCUUUGUUGAAUUUUUCUCUAAUACAAUAGAAAUAAAAGUGAUGUUUAGAGGAACGCUUGCUUACUAAACAACUACUAAAUUCUACGUACAACUCCACUUUGCUGUGGUGUUUAAUCACUUGCAGAAAUUGUUCCUAAGCUUGUAUUUUCUACUAAGAACAUUAAUCUUUAAAUAACUUUAUGCCAUGGUGGUGUGAGAUGAUUAGGUUGGCAAGAAUAUCUGUUGUGGUGUCAUCAUAAUUUUCAUUAGUACAGUGGAUUAUGACAGCUUGUUCUCUGUUCAAAUUGAUGUGAUUACUAGUCUGAGACCCUGGCACAUUUCACUAACACCUGACAUCUGGAAAAGAAAGGUGGGAGGCAAUGAAAGCUCUCAAAGUUGCUACGUGAUGCACACCAAUAGUCUCAUCAUUCAUUCCAGCAGCUGCUGCAGCCAAGGGUUAUGGCCUUCCUUGGUCAACAGAGCUAACACAAUUCUUGUGGUGAUAAAACAAUUAGCUUUUGUGAUUAGUGAUGGAAAAUGCCAUCAAACGAUGAGUUGUGCUGAAUAGGCAGCAACUAGAAUUACCAGCACUUCUCUAUUUAAAUUCAGGUAACAUAUCAGAAGUGGGUGGAUGAGUUGGAGAUUUAUUUUAAGAAGAACAAAAAGCAAGUGUCAAAUAUACAUGUGUAUAUCAAAUUGAAGACUCGUAUCAGAACAGCAAUGACAAUGGAACAAUUCUACCAGCAAAACUGUGAAGAAAUGUGUUUCUAGCUUAUAUAACACCUUUAGCAGAGGAUGAACUCUUGCCCUUGAAUAAUUGUGGUCCCUGUAAAGCUAAUACUGCAUGGGACAGCAGUGAGAGCUGCCCUGAGAAGCCAGACACUCUCACUCUGGCACAGCCAUGAACCUGCACAGGACCCUCAACAGCCUUUGGUUCCCUAGGCUUCAUACAAUACUGCUGAUAUAAAGUGGUACUAUCAUACCACCUGACUUCAAUCCUGGCAUUUAACAAUGACAGCAAAAGGAUCUACAGAGAACAAGGCAGGUUCAUA